rnacentral:tRNA from 1 species
GCCAGGGUGGCUCAGUCGGUUGAGCGUCCGACUUCGGCUCGGUCAUGAUCUCGCGGUUCGUGGGUUCGAGCCCCGCGUCGGGCU